CGCUCUGCCCCGGGGUCCCCGCCCGCGCACGCCGGGGCCCAGCGCUGCCACGGGGGUCGGGCCGGACCGGCCGCCUCCACGCGGGACUGACCGCGGCCGGGACCCGGGAGCGCCCGCGGCAGGUGCGGCAAGCGGCACGGCUCGGCACGACUCCACACGGCUCCGCCCGGCCCCGCCCCGCCCCGCUCCGCCCGGCGCUCACCCAGAAGCUGCUGUUUUCUUUCACAGUCUUCAGCAAGUCUGCAGCUGCCUGCAAGGGAGCACAAGGUCUAUGAGGCACGUAUCACAACCAGCGUGAGGCUCGGCACGAAAGUGGAGAUUUUCUGCAGAGACUCGGCCACUGGAGUGAUCUCAGGACUAUAAACUCUGCCUGUAUUGUAUCGGAAGAAUAUUUGGAUGCAGAGUUCAGUUAUCUA